GGCUCAAUGGUCUAGGGGUAUAAUUUUCGCUUAGGGUGCAAGAGGUCCCGGGUUCAAAUCCCGGUUGAGCCC
rnacentral:tRNA from 1 species